rnacentral:rRNA from 1 species
GAUGAACGCUGGCGGUGUGCCUAAUACAUGCAAGUCGAGCGAACAGACGAGGAGCUUACUCCUCUGACGUUAGCGGCGGACGGGUGAGUAACACGUGGAUAACCUACCUAUAAGACUGGGAUAACUUCGGGAAACCGGAGCUAAUACCUGAUAACAUGUUGAACCGCAUGGUUCAACAGUGAAAGACGGUCUUGCUGUCACUUAUAGAUGGAUCCGCGUCGCAUUAGCUAGUUGGUAAGGUAACGGCUUACCAAGGCAACGAUGCGUAGCCGACCUGAGAGGGUGAUCGGCCACACUGGAACUGAGACACGGUCCAGACUCCUACGGGAGGCAGCAGUAGGGAAUCUUCCGCAAUGGGCGAAAGCCUGACGGAGCAACGCCGCGUGAGUGAAGAAGGUCUUCGGAUCGUAAAACUCUGUUAUUAGGGAAGAACAAAUGUGUAAGUAACUAUGCACGUCUUGACGGUACCUAAUCAGAAAGCCACGGCUAACUACGUG